UGAGCAGAAGACACGAUCUGAGUCAUGCUUCAUACAGGUCACCUCGGCAGUGGCGGGCCACACAUGAUGGGGGGUGCAGGGGAGCAGGGGCUGCGGUGGCUGAGACGAGACGGUGGGAGGGUAGUGAGUAUUGGAGUGGGACACGGUGAGAGGGCUGGAGGGGGAGCCAGCAGGACUCAGUGAAACUUGGGACGGGUGCGUGAACUCAGAGGACUUCCAGGAUGACCCCCGGUUUCUAGCUUAAGUGACUGACAGAGACACGGUUCACUGAGGUGGGCUGGAGGGUGAGGGGGCUUGUGGGGGAAAGGCAACAGCUCUACUUGCAGCCACAUCAGGUCGGGACGCCAUGAGAUGUCCAGGUGGAGAUGUCACCGGGCCUGUUUUCAUCCCUCAACAAAUAUUCACAUCCAGAAAGCGGCACCCCGAGAGUCCCAAAUCCUAAAUCAUAGUCCAGAUGUCAGAGCUGGAAGAGACUUUAGACCCAUCUGGAGCCCACGGUCCUCGCACACCAUGAGUGGAGGAGCCAGCUGGGGUGUUGGAGAACCACGGCGCCUCCUCCCUGAGUCUGACUGCAGCCCAGCCUCCAGAACGGUGAGAAAUGCCCACUGAGGAAGCCGCCCACUGGCAGUGUUGUGGCGCCAGCCCUGGCCACCAGCGCUCUGGCCACGACCUCGGCUGCCCUCCCUCCAGGUGCUUCGGCCUCCUCCCCCGGAGGCUCUGGCCCUGCCACUGUGUCCUCCAGAGUCGGACCCAGGGAAUUAAGGGUCACAAGCCCACUAACUCUGCGAGACAGCAGGUCACUGGGCUGAGGUCUCCUGGUCCCAUAGCCUCCUGUGCCCCGUCCGAGGUUGGCCACUCUGCUGCUC
rnacentral:lncRNA from 1 species